UACGAAGGGGGCUAGCGUUGCUCGGAAUCACUGGGCGUAAAGCGCACGUAGGCGGAUCUUUAAGUCAGGGGUGAAAUCCCGAGGCUCAACCCUCGGAACUGCCCUUUGAUACUGAAGAUCUUGAGUUCGGGAGAGGUGAGUGGAACUGCGAGUGUAGAGGUGAAAUUCGUAGAUAUUCGCAAGAACACCAGUGGCGAAGGCGGCCUCACUGGCCCGAUACUGACGCUGAGGCACGAAAGCGUGG
rnacentral:rRNA from 1 species